UGCUGAUUUCUGAUAUGCAUGAUUUGAUAUCCUUGUAAGUCUCUCCGAGUCUUGGGUUUUAUUUGGCCAACUAGAUCUAUGAUUCUUUCAAUGGGAGAAGUGCUUGGUUUUGGGUUCUUACCGUGUGGUGACCUUUCCCAGUGACAGUAGGGGCAGCAAGGCACACAUCGUGUAGUUGCCAUCAAGGGUAACAAGAUGGGCUUUGUCGUAGAUAUGAGAUUGUCCAUCUACAUCAUGUCAUCUUGCUUAAGGCGUUACUCUGUUCUUUUGGACUUAAUACAGUAGAUGCAUGCUGGAUAGCGGUCGACAUGUGGAGUAAUAGUAGUAGAUGCAGAAAGUAUCUGUCUACUUGUUUUGGACGUGAUGCCUAUAGAUAUAAUCAUUGCCAUAGAUGACGUCAGGACUUUGUGCGGUGCUACCAAUUGCUCGACAGUAAUUUAUUCACCCACCGUCUACUUGCUUUCAUGAGAGAAGCCACUAGUGAACACUACGGCCCCCGGGUCUAUUCACACCUAUCGUUUCCACUUUCACUUUUACUUUGCUUUGUUACUUUGUUGCUUUUAGUUCUCACUUGGCAAACAAUCUAUAAGGGAUUGACAACCCCUUCAUAGAGUUGGGAGCAAGCUUUUUGUGUUUUUGCAGGUACUUGUGAUACUCCUUCACUGGAUCGAUACAUUGGUUCUCAAAACCGAGGGAAAUACUUACCACCGCUGUGCUACAUCACCCUUUCCGCUUCAAGGAAACACCAACGCAAGGCUCCAAGGCCACGGGGGAAUCCUUUGCAUAUUUGCAUAGGAAGUCCCUAAAGGCAUAGCUGUAGCAGAAGGAUUCCUGGUGUCAUUGCCGAGGAGUAUCAAGACAAGAAUAGUCUCCCAUCAGCACGUGUUUCUCGCGCCGUUGGAAGGUCUUUUGUUGCCGUAGCAACUCCCAAGCACGACAAAAGGAGAUUCUAGUCCUUAUUGAGAAUUUGCUGGAACAAGAGGAGAUUUAUUGGAUACAACAUGGACGUGCAAAUAGGCUAUUACAUGGGGAUCGUAACACCUCUUUUUUUCCACAACGUAGCAAUAGCUAGAAAGAAAAUAAUCAUAUUAAAAAAAUUGCUUGGGGAUAAUGGGAGCUGGUUACAAGAUACUGAGAUGAAAGAGUACAUUAGAGGGUACUUUUCAAAUCUAUUUAUGUCAGAGGUCUCCCAACCAAAUCGGGAAGUUCUCUCC
rnacentral:lncRNA from 1 species